UACAGAGGUCUCAAGCGUUGUUCGGAUUCAUUGGGCGUAAGGUAGGUGUGUGUGGCGGCGCUAAGUCGGGUGUGAAAUUUCGGAGCUUAACUCCGAAACUGCAUUCGAUACUGGCGUGCUUGAGGACUGGAGAGGAGACUGGAAUUUACGGUGUAGCAGUGAAAUGCGUAGAUAUCGAUAAGGAAGACCAGUGGCGAAGGCGGGUCUCUGGACAGUUCCUGACACUGAGACACGAAGGCCAGGGGAGCAAACGGG
rnacentral:rRNA from 1 species